AAUUUAGAGAAACCAUUUUCAGACACGCCAGACUAUUGAAAUGCUUGUGUGGAAAUGCUUCGGCUGCAUU
rnacentral:pre_miRNA from 12 species